rnacentral:rRNA from 1 species
GCUCAUGGCUCAGGAUGAACGCUAGCUACAGGCUUAACACAUGCAAGUCGAGGGGCAGCAUCAUCAAAGCUUGCUUUGAUGGAUGGCGACCGGCGCACGGGUGAGUAACACGUAUCCAACCUGCCGACAACACUGGGAUAGCCUUUCGAAAGAAAGAUUAAUACCGGAUGGCAUAGUUUUCCCGCAUGGGAUAAUUAUUAAAGAAUUUCGGUUGUCGAUGGGGAUGCGUUCCAUUAGG